AGUGAACGCUGGCGGUAGGCCUAACACAUGCCAGUCGAACGGCAGCACAGUAAGAGCUUGCUCUUACGGGUGGCGAGUGGCGGACGGGUGAGGAAUACAUCGGAAUCUACUUUUUCGUGGGGGAUAACGUAGGGAAACUUACGCUAAUACCGCAUACGACCUACGGGUGAAAGCAGGGGAUCUUCGGACCUUGCGCGAUUGAAUGCGCCGAUGUCGGAUUAGCUAGUUGGCGGGGUAAAGGCCCACCAAGGCGACGAUCCGUAGCUGGUCUGAGAGGAUGAUCAGCCACACUGGAACUGAGACACGGUCCAGACUCCUACGGGAGGCAGCAGUGGGGAAUAUUGGACAAUGGGCGCAAGCCUGAUCCAGCCAUACCGCGUGGGUGAAGAAGGCCUUCGGGUUGUAAAGCCCUUUUGUUUGGAAAGAAAAGCAGCAGGUUAAUACCCCGCUGUUCUGACGGUACCCAAAGAAUAAGCACCGGCUAACUUCGUG
rnacentral:rRNA from 1 species